rnacentral:rRNA from 1 species
UACGGAGGGUGCAAGCGUUAUCCGGAUUCACUGGGUUUAAAGGGUGCGUAGGUGGCUUUGUAAGUCAGUGGUGAAAUCUCGGAGCUUAACUCCGAAACUGCCAUUGAUACUGCUUAGUUUGAAUCAAGUAGAGGUGGAUGGAAUAUUACAUGUAGCGGUGAAAUGCUUAGAUAUGUAAUAGAACACCGAUUGCGAAAGCAGUUCACUAUGCUUGUAUUGACACUGAGGCACGAAAGCGUGGGGAUCAAACAGG